rnacentral:rRNA from 1 species
GACGAACGCUGGCGGCGUGCUUAACACAUGCAAGUCGAACGAAGAGCGAUGGAAGCUUGCUUCUAUCAAUCUUAGUGGCGAACGGGUGAGUAACGCGUAAUCAACCUGCCCUUCAGAGGGGGACAACAGUUGGAAACGACUGCUAAUACCGCAUACGAUCUAAUCUCGGCAUCGAGGAUAGAUGAAAGGUGGCCUCUACAUGUAAGCUAUCACUGAAGGAGGGGAUUGCGUCUGAUUAGCUAGUUGGAGGGGUAACGGCCCACCAAGGCGAUGAUCAGUAGCCGGUCUGAGAGGAUGAACGGCCACAUUGGGACUGAGACACGGCCCAGACUCCUACGGGAGGCAGCAGUGGGGAAUCUUCCGCAAUGGACGAAAGGCUGACGGAGCAACGCCGCGUGAGUGAUGACGGCCUUCGGGUUGUAAAGCUCUGUUAAUCGGGACGAAAGGCCUUCUUGCGAACAGUUAGAAGGAUUGACGGUACCGGAAGAGAAAGCCACGGCUAACUACGUG